UUUUUUUAUAGCUACGCGACCGUGCUCUCGCGGCCACAAACAUUUCGCCCCGUAGCCGCUGUCUCUAGACAGCAGAAACUAGCGCUGUUGACCAUAAUCCAGUAGAGAGGAUUUUUGGUAUGAAGUGGCGCAGGCGCUGUAUUCUAGUAACUGUAUCAUCUACACUUCCGCGCUGCAACCGGCCUGAAUUGUCAUAUUGGAUUAUCGCUUGUAUCAUAUGUAGUGGAAGGUUGGUUCAGUAGAUUCACCGUGAAGUUGAACUAAAACGCUAGAAACGAUGCUGUGACACGGUUUCAAAUGCUUCGUAGGAGUAACCGGCAAGAUGUCAGAUCACUAAGGGACAGCUGCGGCGUACUAGAGUGGUGAGAAACGACCAGGAAGCAGACGGGAGGACCAAAACACGCCAUUUGAACUUUUCUUCAGCAAUGGCAUCUGAUCAAAGAGAUGGAAACAGUGUGCAGGAAGACCUGAAGCAGGAGCCACUUUGCUGUUCAUUUGCAGUUUAUGAUGCUGGGAAAUGUUGUGACUAUGGUCAACUACCCAGGAGCCGAACCAAAUCCCGCAGUCUUUCUGCUAGUCGUCCUGCUGCAUUAGAGAACCCUAAAAUAUUCAGAAGGACACAGUCUCUUCAUGGACCCUGCCCAGUAACAAAGUUUGGACCAAAAGCUUGUAUGCUGCAGAACCCCAAGACUGUAAUGUAAGUACUGUUGCUUUAAUUUUGUUAU